GAUGAACGCUAGCUACAGGCUUAACACAUGCAAGUCGAGGGGCAGCGGUAUCGAAAGCUUGCUUUCGGUAGCCGGCGACCGGCGCACGGGUGAGUAACGCGUAUCGAACCUGCCUCAUACUCGGGAAUAGCCUUGCGAAAGUAAGAUUAAUGCCCGGUGUUUUCAGAGUCCCGCAUGAGGCUUUGAACAAAGAUUUAUCGGUAUGAGAUGGCGAUGCGUCCCAUUAGCUUGUUGGCGGGGUAACGGCCCACCAAGGCAUCGAUGGGUAGGGGUUCUGAGAGGAAGGUCCCCCACAUGGGAACUGAGACACGGUCCAAACUCCUACGGGAGGCAGCAGUGAGGAAUAUUGGUCAAUGGGCGGAAGCCUGAACCAGCCAAGUAGCGUGCAGGAAGACGGCCCUCCGGGUUGUAAACUGCUUUUAGUUGGGAAUAAAACGGGGCUCGUGAGCCCCCUUGCAUGUACCAUCAGAAAAAGGACCGGCUAAUUCCGUG
rnacentral:rRNA from 1 species